AAGGAAAAGAACCAACAGGGAUUGCCUCAGUAACGGCGAGUGAAGCGGCAACAGCUCAAAUUUGAAAUCUGGCGUCUUCGGCGUCCGAGUUGUAAUUUGCAGAGGAUGCUUCUGGGCAGCCGCCGGUCUAAGUCCCUUGGAACAGGGCGUCAUAGAGGGUGAGAAUCCCGUAUGUGACCGGAAGGGCACCCUCCACGUAGCUCCUUCGAAGAGUCGAGUUGUUUGGGAAUGCAGCUCAAAAUGGGAGGUAAAUUUCUCCUAAAGCUAAAUAUUGGCCAGAGACCGAUAGCGCACAAGUAGAGUGAUCGAAAGAUGAAAAGCACUUUGGAAAGAGAGUUAAAAAGCACGUGAAAUUGUUGAAAGGGAAGCGCUUGCAACCAGACUUGUCUGCGGUGUUCCGCCGGUCUUCUGACCGGUCUAUUCUCCGCAGGCAGGCCAGCAUCAUUUGGGGCCGCCGGAUAAAAGCGGCGGGAAUGUGGCUCCCCUCGGGGAGUGUUAUAGCCCGCCGUGUAAUACGGUGCGUCCCGAGUGAGGUCCGCGCUUCGGCUAGGAUGCUGGCGUAAUGGUUGUAAGCGGCCCGUCUUGAAACACGGACCAAGGAGUCUAACAUCUAUGCGAGUGUUCGGGUGUCAAACCCCUACGCGUAAUGAAAGUGAACGGAGGUGGGAACUUUUUGUGCACCAUCGACCGAUCCUGAUGUCUUCGGAUGGAUUUGAGUAAGAGCAUAGCUGUUGGGACCCGAAAGAUGGUGAACUAUGCCUGAAUAGGGUGAAGCCAGAGGAAACUCUGGUGGAGGCUCGCAGCGGUUCUGACGUGCAAAUCGAUCGUCAAAUUUGGGUAUAGGGGCGAAAGACUAAUCGAACUAUCGACGACAUAGGCGCCACGGAGGUUUUUGCUGCUUAGCAACAGGAGUCUCAGCUCGUGAUCUUAGGCAGUCUUUGCGUAAGUGUUUGCGAAACCUGAACGAAAUUGUGCUAGAGAUAUACUCGUAUAAAAGUCGGCGAUGGCGGGUUUAUCCCGUCGUACUAAGGUCAGGCAUGUUCUCAAGCCUGACCGAGACUUACGAGAGUUCUGGGCCCUUAAGGGCUUAACUGCAAAUGCCCCGCAAGAGGUUCUGCGGCAGGAUUAAACGCCCUGCCAAGAAAUCAAGANAGCGGUGGUGAGGAACCCGACCCGCAGUUAACGUGGGCUCAAAGGGCCNNUNUNAUGAAAUAAACACCUACGGUNCNCUGUAGGGAAUGCACAGGCAUUNCCAUAAGACAACGCGGAAGGCUUA
rnacentral:rRNA from 1 species